GCUGAUGAAAUGAUGUUAACAAAAGGCCGAAUUGUAGCUCUUCUAUCAAGCAGUUUGUUCUUGUAUGGAUAGAGCUUUGACAAAAACUAGACCGAAGCGUUUAACUGAUCUGUCAGC